rnacentral:rRNA from 1 species
GGGGCAGCGGGGAGGAAGCUUGCUUUCUCCGCCGGCGACCGGCGCACGGGUGAGUAACACGUAUGCAACCUGCCCCUGUCAGGGGGACAACCCGCCGAAAGGCGGGCUAAACCCGCGUACAUGCCACCGGGGCAUCCCGGAGGCAGGAAAGGCUUCGGCCGGACAGGGAUGGGCAUGCGGCGCAUUAGGCAGUAGGCGGGGUAACGGCCCACCUAACCGACGAUGCGUAGGGGUUCUGAGAGGAAGGUCCCCCACACUGGUACUGAGACACGGACCAGACUCCUACGGGAGGCAGCAGUGAGGAAUAUUGGUCAAUGGUCGGGAGACUGAACCAGCCAAGCCGCGUGAGGGAGGAAGGUACAGAGUAUCGUAAACCUCUUUUGUCAGGGAACAAAGACUGGGACGCGUCCCCGGAUGAGUGUACCUGAAGAAAAAGCAUCGGCUAACUCCGUGCCAGCAGCCGCGGUAAUACGGAGGAUGCGAGCGUUAUCCGGAUUUAUUGGGUUUAAAGGGUGCGCAGGCGGUCUGUUAAGUCAGCGGUCAAAGCCCGGGGCUCAACCCCGGCCCGCCGUUGAAACUGGCAGUCUCGAGUUGGAGAGAAGUAUGCGGAAUGCGCGGUGUAGCGGUGAAAUGCAUAGAUAUCGCGCAGAACUCCGAUUGCGAAGGCAGCAUGCCGGCUCCACACUGACGCUGAGGCACGAAAGCGUGGGUAUCGAACAGGAUUAGAUACCCUGGUAGUCCACGCAGUAAACGAUGAAUGCUGGCUGUCCGGGGGGACUGACCCCUGGGUGGCGAAGCGAAAGCGAUAAGCAUUCCACCUGGGGAGUACGCCGGCAACGGUGAAACUCAAAGGAAUUGACGGGGGCCCGCACAAGCGGAGGAACAUGUGGUUUAAUUCGAUGAUACGCGAGGAACCUUACCCGGGCUCAAACGGGGAGUGCCGCAGGCAGAGACGCCUGUUUCCCACGGGACACUCCCCGAGGUGCUGCAUGGUUGUCGUCAGCUCGUGCCGUGAGGUGUCGGCUUAAGUGCCAUAACGAGCGCAACCCCCGCGUGCAGUUGCUAACAGAUAACGCUGAGGACUCUGCACGGACUGCCGGCGCAAGCCGCGAGGAAGGCGGGGAUGACGUCAAAUCAGCACGGCCCUUACGUCCGGGGCGACACACGUGUUACAAUGGGUGGUACAGCGGGAAGCCAGGCGGCGACGCCGAGCGGAACCCGAAAUCCACUCUCAGUUCGGAUCGGAGUCUGCAACCCGACUCCGUGAAGCUGGAUUCGCUAGUAAUCGCGCAUC